GGAUACUGCAUCCUGAAAAGAGAACCACAAGCAACAACAAAUUCAGAAUUACUCUAAAUAUAUUCAUUUAUACGUAUAUACAUACAAUUAGAAACUAGAAUUCUACCACUAACAUUGCUUUUUUAUCAGCAAACCUACUUUGCAAGUGAUCUCCGUUGAAUGAUUGAGGCAAGCCUCAUCUAAUGUCAGGUAAGCUAAGUUACCCUAGAAGGCAUCCUAAAUACAUGUGUAUGUUUCUCAAAAACACCAUCAACAAUCCUAGGAGUCUACUAUAUAUAAUCUAAGUGCAAACAUGCCAUCGCAUAUCUAGUAAAAGGAUUAGCAUCAGUUCAUUGUAGAAAAGCAUCAAACAAUCAAGAACUAAAUACUACACAAAGGAGAUGACACAUGACAAACCUUAAUAAAUUUAGCAGCUUUUGGUCCGUUAUCCACAUCAAAA
rnacentral:misc_RNA from 1 species